GCAAUUGUUGAAGAAUUUGAUGAGAUUGUUGCAUCUAAUUAUAUGAGAAGCGAUUCGGAGAAUACACUGCGAGGAUGUAUCAACAGAUGCAAGAGAAUGCAUACAGGUAAACUGAGGGAUAGAUGCAUCAAGCGUUGCCGUGACAAGUAUAAUAGUCGCUUCAUAAAAAACCUUUAAUAGUUUAAUAAUGGUGAGUAUAUAAUAUGUUAUUGUCAUCAAUCUUUCUAUUUAAAAAAAAAAAAUAGUGGCAAGCUAAGCUACCACCAGUUGUAACCAGUGUAUACCN
rnacentral:lncRNA from 1 species